AUUUAUUUUCAAAUAAUUUCAGGUCGUUCAUUGGUCCCUCUAUCGGGGGUUACUUGUUGGACAAAAUAGGAUACAGAAAUGGAACGGUGGUACUUAUAAUUAUUGAAGCCAUUUUGGUAUGCAUCCUUCUGAUAUACUUGGUGUGGGACUAUAGGAUGAAAAACAAGAAGCCUGGCUACGCGAGAAAGUCAGCUCAACAUUACUAAACUAAAUAAAUAGAAAGAUAUUAGUCCGAUAA